rnacentral:rRNA from 1 species
AAUUGGAGGGCAAGUCUGGUGCCAGCAGCCGCGGUAAUUCCAGCUCCAAUAGCGUAUAUUAAAGUUGUUGCAGUUAAAAAGCUCGUAGUUGAAUUUCGGGAUCAAUAUUUCGGUCAUGCCGUUGGUAUGCACUGUUAUCAUUGAUUUCUCACCUUCUAAAGAACCGUAAUGCCAUUAAUUUGGUGUUACGGGGAAUUAGGACUGUUACCUUGAAAAAAUUAGAGUGUUUAAAGCAGGCUCACGCUUGAAUACAUUAGCAUGGAAUAAUGAAAUAGGACAUCCGAUUCUAUUUUGUUGGUUUCUAGGAUCGAUGUAAUGAUUAAUAGGGAUAGUUGGGGGCAUUAGUAUUCAAUUGUCAGAGGUGAAAUUCUUGGAUUUAUUGAAGACUAACUACUGCGAAAGCAUUUGCCAAGGAUGUUUUCAUUAAUCAAGAACGAAAGUUAGGGGAUCGAAGACGAUCAGAUACCGUCGUAGUCUUAACCGUAAACUAUGCCGACUAGGGAUCGGAUGAUGUUAAUUUUUUAAUGACUCAUUCGGCGCCUUACGGGAAACCAAAGUGU